AGUGAACGCUGGCGGCAGGCUUAACACAUGCAAGUCGAACGAGCGGCGGACGGGUGAGGGAUACAUCGGAAUCUACCCUGUCGAGGGGUAUAACGUAGCGAAACUUACGCUAAUACCGCAUCCUUUCGGAUGAGCCGAUGUGGGAUUAGCUAGUUGGGGGUGUAAAGGCUCACCAAGGCGACGAUCCGUAGCUGGUCUGAGAUGAUGAUCAGCCACACUGGAAAUGAGACACGGUCCAGACUCCUACGGGAGGCAGCAGUGGGGAAUAUUGGACAAUGGGCGCAAUCCUGAUCCAGCCAUGCCGCGUGGGUGAAGAAGGCCUUCGGGUUGUAAAGCCCUUUUGUUGGGAAAGCGGUACCCAAAGAAUAAGCACCGGCUAACUCCGUGCCAGCAGCCGCGGUAAUAC
rnacentral:rRNA from 1 species